rnacentral:rRNA from 1 species
UACGAGGGGAGCAAGCGUUGUUCGGAUUUACUGGGCGUAAAGGGCGCGUAGGCGGUCGUGACAGGUCACUUGUGAAAUCUCCGGGCUUAACUCGGAACGGGCAAGUGAUACUGUCGGACUAGAGUACAGAAGGGGCAACUGGAAUUCUCGGUGUAGCGGUGAAAUGCGUAGAUAUCGAGAGGAACACCUGCGGCGAAGGCGGGUUGCUGGGCUGAUACUGACGCUGAUGCGCGAAAGCCAGGGGAGCGAACGGG